GAUGAACGCUGGCGGCGUGCCUAAUACAUGCAAGUCGAGCGAACAGAUGUGGAGCUUGCUCCUCUGACGUUAGCGGCGGACGGGUGAGUAACACGUGGAUAACCUACCUAUAAGACUGGGAUAACUUCGGGAAACCGGAGCUAAUACCGGAUAAUAUAUUGAACCGCAUGGUUCAAUAGUGAAAGACGGUUUUGCUGUCACUUAUAGAUGGAUCCGCGCCGCAUUAGCUAGUUGGUAAGGUAACGGCUUACCAAGGCAACGAUGCGUAGCCGACCUGAGAGGGUGAUCGGCCACACUAGAACUGAGACACGGUCCAGACUCCUACGGGAGGCAGCAGUAGGGAAUCUUCCGCAAUGGGCGAAAGCCUGACGGAGCAACGCCGCGUGAGUGAUGAAGGUCUUCGGAUCGUAAAACUCUGUUAUUAGGGAAGAACAAAUGUGUAAGUAACUAUGCACGUCUUGACGGUACCUAAUCAGAAAGCCACGGCUAACUACGUG
rnacentral:rRNA from 1 species